rnacentral:ncRNA from 1 species
GCAGAGUAGAAUUUAAAGCGUUAAGUGCUGUUUGCACAGGGAGUUGGCAGAUGGACGAAGGAUGUUACCGCGGUUUUAAAUUCGCAUCCCGCUGC